GACGAACGCUGGCGGCGUGCCUAAUACAUGCAAGUAGAACGCUGAAGCGAGGAGCUUGCUCUUCUUGGAUGAGUUGCGAACGGGUGAGUAACGCGUAGGUAACCUGCCUUGUAGCGGGGGAUAACUAUUGGAAACGAUAGCUAAUACCACAUAACAAUGGAUGACACAUGUCAUUUAUUUGAAAGGGGCAAUUGCUCCACUACAAGAUGGACCUGCGUUGUAUUAGCUAGUAGGUGAGGUAAUGGCUCACCUAGGCGACGAUACAUAGCCGACCUGAGAGGGUGAUCGGCCACACUGGGACUGAGACACGGCCCAGACUCCUACGGGAGGCAGCAGUAGGGAAUCUUCGGCAAUGGGGGCAACCCUGACCGAGCAACGCCGCGUGAGUGAAGAAGGUUUUCGGAUCGUAAAGCUCUGUUGUAAGUCAAGAACGGGUGUGAGAGUGGAAAGUUCACACUGUGACGGUAGCUUACCAGAAAGGGACGGCUAACUACGUG
rnacentral:rRNA from 1 species